GCUUAAAAGCUAGCCUACCCACAAUUUAAGAAAACCCAAACAUAAACCAGAAAUUAAUAAAUCCAAGGUAAAAAUUAAAUCAUUCUUCCACCCCAGUAUGGGCGACAGAAAAGGAACUAAAUAGAGCAAUAGAGAAAGUACCGUAAGGGAAAGCUGAAAGAGAAAUGAAACAACUCAUUCAAGCCCAUCAAAGCAGAGAUAAAAACUCGUACCUUUUGCAUCAUGAUUUAGCUAGCAAACUCGGGCAAAGAGAACUUUAGUCCAAGUCCCCGAAACUAGACGAGCUACUCCGAGACAGCCUAUCAUAGGGCCAACCCACCUCUGUAGCAAAAGAACGGGAAGAGCUCCGAGUAGAGGUGACAAACCUAACGAGCCUAGUAAUAGCUGGUUAUCCAAGAAACGAAUAGAAGUUCCACCCUCUAGACAUUCUCCCCCCUCCCCUUAUUCAUAUUACAAUACUCGGCCCGGAGAAACUAGAAGAGUAAUUCAAGAGAGGUACAGCUCCCUUGAACCAAGAUACAACUUUAUAAGAAGGCUAAAGAUCACAAUCAGUCAAGGAAAAUUGUUCUAGUGGGCCUAAAGGCAGCCACCUAUAAAGAAAGCGUUAAAGCUCAUACAAUUAAAUAUACCCAAUUAUACCGAUAAAACAUCUUAAACCCCUACAUAUACUGGAUCAUCCCAUGCACUACAUGGAAAAGACUAUGCUAAAAUGAGUAAUAAGGAAGUACGACUUCCUCCCAGCACAAGUGUAAAUCAGACGGACAAACCACUGAAAAUUAACGACCCCAAACAAAGAGGGAACUGCACNACACAAAUAUAAACNAGNAAAACACCCAAAGACAAUCGUUAACCCCACACAGGANUGCCACCAAGGAAAGACUAAAAGAAGAGAAGNACUCGGCAAACCCAAGCCUCGCCUGUUUACCAAAAACAUCGCCUCUUGCAAACAAAGAAUAAGAGGUCCCGCCUGCCCUGUGACAAUUAGUUCAACGGCCGCGGUAUUUUGACCGUGCAAAGGUAGCGCAAUCACUUGUCUUUUAAAUGAAGACCUGUAUGAAUGGCAUUACGAGGGCUUGACUGUCUCCUCCCUCCAGUCAAUGAAAUUGAUCUCCCCGUGCAGAAGCGGGGAUACUAACAUAAGACGAGAAGACCCUGUGGAGCUUUAAAUUAAGAGUAGACCCUGUCAAUGAUAACCCCACAAAAAGAAUCAAACCAAAGGAAUUACUACUCUAAUAUUUUUGGUUGGGGCGACCACGGGGGAAAAGAAGCCCCCACGAGGACUAGGAAAAACUUCCUGAAACUAAGAGCCACAGCUCUAAGAGACAGAAUUUCUGACCUAACAGAUCCGGCAACCAAGCCGAUCAACGGACCGAGUUACCCCAGGGAUAACAGCGCAAUCCCCUCUCAGAGCCCCUAUCGACGAGGGGGUUUACGACCUCGAUGUUGGAUCAGGACAUCCUAAUGGUGCA
rnacentral:rRNA from 1 species